GGCCAUAUAGCUCAGGGGGUAGAGCACCUGGUAUAAACCUAGGAGGUCGCCGGUUCAAUUCUGGCUCUGGUCG